rnacentral:rRNA from 1 species
CCUACGGGUGGCAGCAGUAGGGAAUAUUGCUCAAUGGGGGAAACCCUGAAGCAGCAACGCCGCGUGGAGGAUGAAGGUUUUCGGGUUGUAAACCCCUUUUGUUAGAGAAGAUAAUGACGUUAUCUAUAGAUAAAGCACCGGCUAACACCGUGCCAGCAGCCGCGGUAAUACGGAGGGUGCGCGCGUUACUCGGAAGCACUGGGCGUAAAGGGCGCGUAGGCGGGAUAGCAAGUCAGAUGUGAAAUCCUAUGGCUUAACCAUAGAACUGCAUUUGAAACUGUUAGUCUAGAGGAUGGGAGAGGUAGGUGGAAUUCUUGGUGUAGCGGUAAAAUGCGUAGAGAUCAAGAGGAAUACUCAUUGCGAAGGCGACCUGCUAGAACAUAACUGACGCUGAUGCGCGAAAGCGUGGGGAGCAAACAGGAUUAGAUACCCUAGUAGUC